UUCAUGGAGAGUUUGAUCCUGGCUCAGGACGAACGCUGGCGGCGUGCCUAAUACAUGCAAGUCGAGCGGACAGAUGGGAGCUUGCUCCCUGAUGUUAGCGGCGGACGGGUGAGU
rnacentral:rRNA from 1 species